CACUAAUAGCUCUGUAAGUCACUCUGGAUAAGAGCGUCUGCUAAAUGACUGAAA
rfam:Salmo salar isolate Sally breed double haploid chromosome ssa26, whole genome shotgun sequence.